rnacentral:tRNA from 1 species
GGUUAUGGCUCAGUGAUACAGCACUUGCCUAGCAUGAGUGAGGCCUGGGUUCGAUCCUCAGCACCA